rnacentral:rRNA from 1 species
GGCAGACUAAUACCGCAUAGUCUUCGAUGACGGCAUCAGAUUUGAAGUAAAGAUUUAUCGGUAAUGGAUGGGGAUGCGUCUGAUUAGCUUGUUGGCGGGGUAACGGCCCACCAAGGCGACGAUCAGUAGGGGUUCUGAGAGGAAGGUCCCCCCACAUUGGAACUGAGACACGGUCCAAACUCCUACGGGAGGCAGCAGGG